rnacentral:rRNA from 1 species
CAAUAGCGUGUAUUAAUGUUGUUGCAGUUAAAAAGCUCGUAGUCGAAGUUGUGGUAGGAGGGGCCCGGCCUUUGGGUGUAUGCUCAUUGAUUGCUGUGUGCUGUCUCUGGCCAUCUUGGCGGUGUGUUGCACUUGUGUGAUGUGUCGCCUCAUUUACUGUAAAUAAAUUAGAGUGUUUCAAGCAAAUAGUAGGGUUGGAAUAUGUUAGUAUGGAAUAAUAGGAUAAGACUUUGGUCAUAUUUUGUUGGUUUGCAGACCGGAGUAAUGAUUAACAGGAACAGUUGGGGGUAUUCGUAUUCAGUUGUCAGAGGUGAAAUUCUUGGAUUUUCGGAAGACGAACUACUGCGAAANCANNNACCCAGGAUGUUUUCAUNGA